UAGGAAGUGGUGUAGUGGAAGCACAAAGAGUUUUGGUCUCUUGGGCGUAGGUUCGAAACCUAUUUUUCUAA
rnacentral:tRNA from 1 species